GAUGAACGCUAGCGGCAGGCCUAACACAUGCAAGUCGAGGGGCAGCACAGAAACAGCAAUGUUUUGGUGGCGACCGGCGGACGGGUGCGUAACGCGUAUGCAACCUACCUUUAACAGGGGGAUAACGGAGAGAAAUUUCCACUAAUACCCCAUAACAUCGAUCAAGGCAUCUUGAUUGGUUAAAAACUCCGGUGGUUAAAGAUGGGCAUGCGUUGUAUUAGGUAGUUGGUGAGGUAAUGGCUCACCAAGCCUACGAUACAUAGGGGGACUGAGAGGUUAGCCCCCCGCACUGGUACUGAGACACGGACCAGACGCCUACGGGAGGCAGCAGUGAGGAAUAUUGGUCAAUGGGGGCAACCCUGAACCAGCCAUGCCGCGUGCAGGAAGACGGCUCUAUGAGUUGUAAACUGCUUUUAAACAGGGAUAAAGCACAGUAUGUAUACUGUGUUGAAGGUACUGUAAGAAUAAGGAUCGGCUAACUCCGUGCCAGCCGCCGCCGUAA
rnacentral:rRNA from 1 species